CGGAGGGGCUAGCGUUAUUCGGAAUUACUGGGCGUAAAGCGCACGUAGGCGGAUUAACAAGUCAGAGGUGAAAUCCCAGGGCUCAACCUUGGAACUGCCUUUGAAACUGUUAGUCUUGAGGUCGUGAGAGGUGAGUGGAAUUCCGAGUGUAGAGGUGAAAUUCGUAGAUAUUCGGAGGAACACCAGUGGCGAAGGCGGCUCACUGGCACGAUACUGACGCUGAGGUGCGAAAGCGUGGGGGAGCAAACAGGAUU
rnacentral:rRNA from 1 species